rnacentral:misc_RNA from 1 species
AGGCAAAAGAAGAUAACACUGAGGUUGAAUUUCAUUUCAUCAUGUGAUGUAGAUAUGUUUUUGGCUUAUCAUGUUUCAGUUCAAUUUUUCUCUAUCUUUCUGUCAAGAAAAUAACAGCCCUGGUUCUCAAAUAGGAUUGGAGCCCAGAGGAUAAUCAUUGUGAUAUUGGUAGUUUUCUUAACAUGAAUUUCCAUUUUCCUUUUCUUAGUGCACUUCCCUUUUUUUUUUUUCAG